GUGUUCCUCUUUGUUUGCUCCCAGAGGUCUUCCCUGUGUUCCUCCUGUUUUCCUGGUUGGUUUCAGAUCUGUCUUUUGGAGGCCAAACCAGGAAGAGGUGAUGUCAUGAUGGCUAUCGCUUACAAUGUUUCGGCCAGCUGCAGAUGCACAGACCCCCUUCUCUCCUGAGGUAUGACCUCAGCCUGGGUGUACGGAGGGAACAUCUGCUUGAUGAUCUGGUUAGCAGGAUGCAGAUUUAUUCACGUGCAGCUCGCUCCCGCCUCACUCAGACAUUCUGUCGCCAGCGCCGUGACGUCACCUACGCCAGGAGCCUCCUCCGCUCUGAACGUUUCCCUCCGCCUGUCUUCAAGAUAAUCUAGUCCCUCCUCUCCACCGCGGCCCUGAACUUGAGCAAUGAAACUGGCAGAGAAACAGAAAA